CAGUUGAUGUCGCUUUAAGAAAAUUUCCCUCGCUUGGCUUGAGCCGUUCAGUUUAGGCGAUUGAUGCGGACGUUCUCUGACGGAACCUCGCACGGUUUUCAACGCGGAGUCUGUUUUGGAGUUAAUAUUUCUCAGCCUGCUAAAAAUGCUUGCGUCAGACUGGCUGGUGUAAGUUAACGUUCGUUGGCCUGCAGGAUGGAGCUGACUAGAAUGUCUACCGCUAACUUAAUAAAGGAGUUAAUACAAUUUGGUAUCGAAGUCACUGAAGAGGAGAGGAAAAAGUUUGAAGACAAUGAUGUGGAUGGAGAGACUGUUGACAUCGGACUGACUGAGUCAAUGAUUUCAUUCCUCUUUGAGGGAUCAUUUAAAAAACAAGCAAAAUUUCAUCGAAAUGAUGAAAGAUUGAUGAAGGAGAUGAAGGAGACAGUGACAUUAACUCUUGAACCUGUGCCUGUAGAAAGCCAGUCAAGAGCUGGAGCAAGUAAUAUCAGCCCAUCAACAGCUUUCCCUGCAUUUUUUGAAGUUCCGAAGUAAAUUUGAGCGGACACCUUUGGCUGAAGUUGAAGAAGUGAAAAGACUUAAACAGAAAUUUGGUCAUUCAAAAAAGUCUCUGCAACCUGAAGAAAGCAGUUGCAAAGAAAUUACAAGGCCUUUGGAGAUUAAUGCUGUUGGAGAGGAUGCUACAUCAAUAGAGGGACAUGUGAAAGUCCUGCAGGACCAAUAUAGAAGGACACAGCCAGAGACUCACAUUGUUAAAGAUCGAAUGAGGAGGACCUUUGCCUGGAGGCGGCAGGAGAUUACUAUUGGUAUGACUGUUGAAGAUGUCGUCAACAAAUAUCCAUUCUUGAAGAGUCCAUCAGGGCUUUAUCAAGAAAUUGGUUUCCUGUAUAAAUGUGUUCAACUGAGCCGCCAUUUUCAAGAACAUUUUGGACACAUUACAUCCAGCAUGCUACGGCUCGCUCAAGGGAAAUCCCCUCUAGCAAAGCUGCACAAAGAAGCUAGAGAAGAAUCUCUCUGUGAAGACCAUCUUGGAAUUGAUUUUAAAGCAGCACUUCUCAUGUUGCCAGCCUUGUUCAGAGAGAAACUUGAACAUUUCAUUGUGCUUGGAGAGAGUGAACCAUCCUCACCAUAUCCUACUGUUCAAGUACAGGAGACCACUGACUGGAAAACUGUGUUUACAAGAAGAGUCAGUGCAGUCUUCAAAGUUGAUGGGAUCGAAAUCUGCCAGGCAAAUCUUUGCGUUCUUUAUGGUGUUUAAGAUUUGAAGGAAAACAUCAAUAUUUUAAACAGGUUGCCAGCACGUGUAGAAAUUUUGUUAACAUUUCAUUCACUUUAAGUAAUCGACAUCAACACAGACAAUGUUGGGAAUUGUCUUCUGUUAAUAUGUUGGGGGAAUAUGAGAGAGUUGCUGGAUGUUGUGUGAGCACACCAUUUCGAUCUUUGCCUGUGGCUCUACAGCAUUCAGUGAAAGCAAAUAAGAAGUACAGCCAUGUCAAUUUUGAAGGCAAACAACUUCAACGAGUAACAGAAGUAGUGCUUAAUGAUGUCAAAUACUGUGUUAAAGAUGUUUACUGUGGGUCAUCUGCAUGCAGAAGCUGUUCCACUGUUUUUUCAGAUUGAGUACAUUGUUAACAUAGACACAGACUGGUUAUCGUGUGGCAAGCUUUUAAUUCCGGUUUCUUUUUGUCGUCAUUUUUAUUCAUACUGUGUGAAAUGUGAGAAUGAAUGGACUGUCCUCUUGCCAGGUGAAGAGGUUGAUUACCAGGCAUUAGACACGUACCACGUUGAUGACAAGUUAUUUAUUAGCACAAGAUACACUUGCUGAAGACAAACUGCUGCAAACGUCAAAAUGUGCAGUUCUUGAUGUAGCCUGUGUAAUAAGGCUGUUUUACUUGUUUGAUGAGUUUUUCUGAAUUUUUUAUUGAAUAGCUAGUUUUUUCUUGACAUGCUUGCUGUUGUGAGAUGUAAUGAAAUCUUUUUAAAAGAACAUUUCUAAAUAAAAUUGUCUAUUUGUUA